rnacentral:lncRNA from 1 species
GUCACUCAAAAAUUGUCAAAAAUUGGUGCAAAAUAAAGGGCCAUACCCAAAUCAAGAGACGAAUAUCCAUUGGCAACAAAGUAACAAAAAUUGUCUAGAAUAACAAUUUGGUGCUUAAAUUAGAAAAAUAUUAUUUUAUGGUGAAAGAAGGUAUAGUUCUUGGCCACAACAUCUAUAGAAAGGAGAUCAAAGCUAAUGGGGCAAAGAUUGAG